rnacentral:tRNA from 18 species
UUAUAGCUCAGUGGAUAGAGCACCAGAUUCCGAUUCUGGAAGCGGAGGUGUCG